rnacentral:rRNA from 1 species
GAUGAACGCUGGCGGCGUGCUUAACACAUGCAAGUCGAACGAAGAUGCCGGAGUGCUUGCACUUUGGCAGACUGAGUGGCGGACGGGUGAGUAACGCGUGGGUAACCUGCCUUAUACAGGGGGAUAACAGUUGGAAACGACUGCUAAUACCGCAUAAGCGCACGGUAUCGCAUGAUACAGUGUGAAAAACUCCGGUGGUAUAAGAUGGACCCGCGUCUGAUUAGCUUGUUGGUGAGGUAACGGCCCACCAAGGCGACGAUCAGUAGCCGGCCUGAGAGGGUGAACGGCCACAUUGGGACUGAGACACGGCCCAAACUCCUACGGGAGGCAGCAGUGGGGAAUAUUGCACAAUGGGCGCAAGCCUGAUGCAGCGACGCCGCGUGAAGGAUGAAGUAUUUCGGUAUGUAAACUUCUAUCAGCAGGGAAGAAAUGACGGUACCUGACUAAGAAGCCCCGGCUAACUACGUG